GACGAACGCUGGCGGCGUGCCUAACACAUGCAAGUCGAGCGAGGAACUUCGGUUCCUAGCGGCGGACGGGUGAGUAACACGUGGGUAACAUGGCUCAUAGAGGGGGAUAGCCUUCCGAAAGGGAGAUUAAUACCGCAUAAGAAGCGCAAGUCGCAUGACUUUAGCUUUAAAGGGGCAAUCCGCUAUGAGAUGGGCCCGCGGCGCAUUAGCUAGUUGGUGAGGUAAAGGCUCACCAAGGCGACGAUGCGUAGCCGACCUGAGAGGGUGAUCGGCCACAUUGGCACUGAGACACGGUCCAGACUCCUACGGGAGGCAGCAGUGGGGAAUAUUGCACAAUGGGCGAAAGCCUGAUGCAGCACCGCCGCGUGAGUGAUGAAGGCCUUCGGGUUGUAAAGCUCUGUCUUUGGGGACGAUAAUGACGGUACCCAAGGAGGAAGCCACGGCUAACUACGUGCCAGCAGCCGCAGUAAAAC
rnacentral:rRNA from 1 species